UUUGAAUGGCCGCAGUAUUUUGACUGUGCUAAGGUAGCAUAAUCAUUAGUUUUUUAAUUAAAAGCUGGAAUGAAGGGUUGGAUGAGAAAUUAACUGUCUCUAAUUAAUUUUAUUAGAAUUUUAUUUUUAAGUUAAAAAGCUUAAAUAAUUUUGAAAGACGAGAAGACCCUAUAGAGUUUAAUAUAUUUAAUUUAUAAAUAUUUAGAAUUUAUUUUUUAUAAUUAUUGUAUAUUUAAUUGGGGUGAUUAAAAAAUUUAAUAAACUUUUUUUAUAAAUUUAUAUUUAUUAAUAAAUUAAUGAUCCAAAGGUUUUGAUUAUAAGAUAAAUUACCUUAGGGAUAACAGCGUAAUUUUAUUAGAGAGUUCUAAUCGAAAAUAAAGUUUGCGACCUCGAUGUUGGAUUAAAAUUUAAAUUUGGUGUAGAAGCUAAAUAAUUUAAGUCUGUUCGACUUUUAAAAUUUUAC
rnacentral:rRNA from 1 species